rnacentral:rRNA from 1 species
AACGAACGCUGGCGGCAUGCCUAACACAUGCAAGUCGAACGAGACCUUCGGGUCUAGUGGCGCACGGGUGCGUAACGCGUGGGAACCUGCCCUUAGGUUCGGAAUAACUCCCCGAAAGGGGUGCUAAUACCGGAUAAUGUCUUCGGACCAAAGAUUUAUCGCCUUUGGAUGGGCCCGCGUUGGAUUAGCUAGUUGGUAGGGUAAAAGCCUACCAAGGCGACGAUCCAUAGCUGGUCUGAGAGGAUGAUCAGCCACACUGGGACUGAGACACGGCCCAGACUCCUACGGGAGGCAGCAGUGGGGAAUAUUGGACAAUGGGCGAAAGCCUGAUCCAGCAAGGCCGCGUGAGUGAUGAAGGCCUUAGGGUUGUAAAGCUCUUUUACCCGGGAUGAUAAUGACAGGACCGGGAGAAUAAGCUCCGGCGAACUCCGU